AUUGAACGCUGGCGGCAGGCCUAACACAUGCAAGUCGAGCGGAGCGGCGGACGGGUGAUUAAUGCCUAGGAAUCUGCCUGGUAGUGCGGGAUAACGUCCGGAAACGGGCGCUAAUACCGCAUACUAUCAGAUGAGCCUAGGUCGGAUUAGCUUGUGGGUGGGGUAAAGGCCUACCAAGGCGACGAUCCGUAACUGGUCUGAGAGGAUGAUCAGUCACACUGGAACUGAGACACGGUCCAGACUCCUACGGGAGGCAGCAGUGGGGAAUAUUGGACAAGGGGCGAAAGCCUGAUCCAGCCAUGCCGCGUGUGUGAAGAAGGUCUUCGGAUUGUAAAGCACUUUAAGUUGGGAGGCGGAAAAAAAAGAAUAAGCACCGGCUAACUUCGUGCCAGCAGGAGCGGUAAUAG
rnacentral:rRNA from 1 species